rnacentral:rRNA from 1 species
GGGCCCGCACAAGCGGUGGAGUAUGUGGUUUAAUUCGAUGCAACGCGAAGAACCUUACCAGGGUUUGACAUCCUGCGAAUUUCUGGGAAACCGGAAAGUGCCUUCGGGAGCGCAGUGACAGGUGGUGCAUGGCUGUCGUCAGCUCGUGUCGUGAGAUGUUGGGUUAAGUCCCGCAACGAGCGCAACCCACGUCUUUAGUUGCCAGCAUUUAGUUGGGCACUCUAGAGAGACCGCCGGUGAUAAACCGGAGGAAGGUGUGGAUGACGUCAAGUCAUCAUGCCCCUUACAUCCUGGGCUACACACGUACUACAAUGCUACGGACAAAGGGCAGCAAACUCGCGAGAGCUAGCAAAUCCCAUAAAGCCAGUCUCAGUUCGGAUUGGAGUCUGCAACUCGACUUCAUGAAGCUGGAAUCGCUAG